rnacentral:snRNA from 1 species
GAAUUUCAACAGCUCAGAUACUAAAAUUGGUAUGAUACAGAGAUUAACAUGACCCCUGUGCAAGAAUGAAAGAGAAAUUCAUGAAGUUCUACAUAUUUUU